rnacentral:pre_miRNA from 1 species
AAAACUCCGUGUAAAAGACAGGACUAGGACACAGGGGACAGGACGGGCGCCCGUCCUGUCCCCUUUGUUUUAGUCCUGUCUUUUACGCGGAGUUUU